AGACUAUCCCCGGGGAGCCUGCUGAGGCUGAGAGGUGGGUGUAAGCACCCCACGACCCGUCGAACCUGAACCUGUUAACACAGGCGGAGGGAGUGGGCAGGUCGCUUGGA
rfam:Erythrobacter sp. SCN 62-14 ABS49_C0055, whole genome shotgun sequence.